CAUCUGCAAGCCGGUCAUAUCUCUCGGGAGACCAGGAAGAGAGGAUCUACAUUUCAAGGAGAUGACAGGGGGUGGGCAUUGUGUGGGGCAUGAGGACUGAGAUCUUGGGAGGCUAGUAGAGCAGGCAGACCUUGUGUCCCGAGGUGGAGUGGCUGGCCCAGCUCUACAACCCUUGUGUCACCACAAAUGUUGCUCUUAUACCACAAGUGAAGCAGCAGCCAGAGAGAGUCAGAGAAAAAUUAUCUGGGCAGCAGAGUGAAGUGUUGCCUGAAGAGAGGAGGAGACAGGAUACAGACAGAUCAGUGAAGAGGCUGAUCCAGUUGUCAAGGUGGGACCCAAGAUCUCCUCGGAUCAGAGAGGAGACAAAUCAGAAGAGAAAAUGGAUGAAAGGGAGAAGAGAGUACAAGACGUCCUUUCUAGCCCCCUUCCCUACCACUUGCUUUGCUUUGAUAAAUUCCAGUAAAUUGUCAAUUAAGGUAAUAAAUAAAUUUUUUUCCAGCUAUCUCAAGCAGGCAAAACAGUUGGAUUUUUACCUCGAAGAAGUCUCUUUAAAUUUGAAAACUUAUCCUUUUAGAAAUUGACCAAUAAGUCAUAAUAAAAGAUUAUUAAAGUGA